rnacentral:tRNA from 1 species
CAGAGAGUAGUUAAAUUUAAGAACGCUAGCUUUGGGAGCUAGUGGUGAGAGUUAAAAUCUCUUCUUUCUGA